rnacentral:tRNA from 1 species
GGAGAUUUAGCUCAGUGGUAGAGCGCUUGCCUAGCAAGCGCAAGGCCCUGAGUUCGGUCCUCAGCUCUG